rnacentral:rRNA from 1 species
GACGGAGCAACGCCGCGUGAGUGAUGAAGGUCUUCGGAUCGUAAAACUCUGUUAUUAGGGAAGAACAAAUGUGUAAGUAACUGUGCACGUCUUGACGGUACCUAAUCAGAAAGCCACGGCUAACUACGUGCCAGCAGCCGCGGUAAUACGUAGGUGGCAAGCGUUAUCCGGAAUUAUUGGGCGUAAAGCGCGCGUAGGCGGUUUCUUAAGUCUGAUGUGAAAGCCCACGGCUCAACCGUGGAGGGUCAUUGGAAACUGGGAAACUUGAGUGCAGAAGAGGAAAGUGGAAUUCCAUGUGUAGCGGUGAAAUGCGCAGAGAUAUGGAGGAACACCAGUGGCGAAGGCGACUUUCUGGUCUGUAACUGACGCUGAUGUGCGAAAGCGUGGGGAUCAAACAGGAUUAGAUACCCUGGUAGUCCACGCCGUAAACGAUGAGUGCUAAGUGUUAGGGGGUUUCCGCCCCUUAGUGCUGCAGCUAACGCAUUAAGCACUCCGCCUGGGGAGUACGACCGCAAGGUUGAAACUCAAAGGAAUUGACGGGGACCCGCA